rnacentral:lncRNA from 15 species
GAGGUGGGAGUGGAGGAGGAAGGGGAGUCAUGGGUGAGUGGAGAGAAUAGGAAGGGUGGGUGGUUGAGGGCGGUGGGAGGGGGUGGCUGUCUGGGUGAGAGGAGUGUUGAUCGAUUCCAGGCUUGCUAUUUUCCAGACAGGCUGAAUGGUAAAGGUCAAAGUGGAAGCAGGCUCGCCGCUGAGUACACCUCCAGUGGACGCUGUUUACUGCUGCUGUGUACUAUAAAAAAUCCAACAGCGUCUUCUGUUGGAUUCCUGGGAACAUCUGACAUGGCUGAAAAAAUCUGUUUAAACCUGUCAGCUGCUUCAGUAAAAACGGAGGUAUUUUGCAGGGAAGAUCUGAACUGCUGCUGAACACUUUGAACUCCAACAUCACUGAUUGUGCAGGCAGGUGGUUGGGUGUCUUGCUCAAGGGCACUUGGGGGGAAAGUUAAAAAUAGCAAGAGCUGCUGGGAUAGAAUCUGACACAUUUGCCCUCCACUAGCAUGCGUUUGCGUGCGUGUCACUGUUUGGCUGUCGGGUUGUAUUCAGCUCCACCCAGACUGUGGCUGCUCACAUAACUACAUUGCACUGACACGGUGAUGACAACACACAAGAGAUGGAUCCUUAUGGAGCAUAUACAUGGUUAUUUGUCAUCACACGUAAGUCUGAACACACACACACACACACACACACAGAUAGAAAUGCUAAUUGUGGCCACACAGACGGUGAUGUCUAAACCCUGAGGCUCAGGUCGCAGCAGCCAAAAUAAACACAUAACAGCACUGACCUCUACACACACACACACACACACACACACACACACUAAGGAAGCGCAAAGUAAGACAUGCCACACAUGCUUGCAUAAAUAGACACACAGAAGUCUAUCUAUUGAAUUUGCUCCACUUCCUGUGUAUGCAUGCGUGUGUGCAUGCAUGGUUGCGCAUGAAUGCAUGUGUGUCUGAAUGAGAAGACAGAUUGUGGCGGCUGGACUGUGAGGUAAAUAAAAAAAAAAAGGGAGGGGGGGUAAAAGAGAGACACAGAGACAUGGGGUGGGUGGUGGGGCGAGUAAGUGAGCGAGUUGCGGUCCUCCCUCCUUUGCUCCUUCGUUCACUCUCCCACUCACUUGCUCCCCCUCCCCCACCUGGGACUUGAACCCAUGACCCCCCGGUGAAUGAGUUCAAGGGAGGCACCACCAUUACUGGGGAAACUGCUGGUCUGUUUGUGUGUGAGUGAGAGUGUGUUUCGAAGUGAACUGAGUUCGCUGGAGUGUGUGUGUGUGUGUGUGUGAGAUAGAGAGCGUGUGUAGAUGUGUGUUAAAGGGCAGAGUUCUGUUGUGUUUCUUAAAAGUUGAUUUUUACAAUGGGAGUUCUGAAUGAGCUUUCUUUUAAGCCUAACAUUUGUGCAUGUAGAUAUUUGUAUUUGUGUGUGUGUGGAUGGGAGUUUAUUUUGAGGCGACCCCAGUUGAGUUCGCCAGUGUAUGUGUGUGUUUUGUGAGUGUGUGUAGAAGUGUGUUUACAGACAGAAUUCCUGUGUUUCUUAAAAACUUAUUUUUACAAGAGGAGUUCUGAAU